GGAGAGGUGGCUCAGAGGUUAAGAGCACUGACUGUUCUUCCAGAGGUCCUGAGUUCAAUUCUCAGCAACCACA
rfam:Neotoma lepida isolate 417 scaffold_1027, whole genome shotgun sequence.